UCCGUGUUCACCACGGCAGUCUCUUUAGAGUGCCCAACUGAAUGCUGGCAACUAAAGACAAGGGUUGCGCUCGUUGCGGGACUUAACCCAACAUGUCACCACACGAGCUGACGACAGCCAUGCAGCACCUGUGUGCAGGUCCCCGAAGUGAAGGAAUCCAUCUCUGGAAACCGUCCUGCCAUGUCAAGGGCUGGUAAGGUUCUGCGCGUUGCUUCGAAUUGAACCACAUGCUCCACCGCUUGUGCGGGCCCCCGUCAAUUCCUUUGAGUUUUAGCCUUGCGGCCGUAGUCCCCAGGCGGUCGACUUAAUGCGUUAGCUCCGGCGCCGAGGGGGUCGAUACCCCCGACACCUAGUCGACAUCGUUUACGGCGUGGACUAC
rnacentral:misc_RNA from 1 species